CACAUGCAAGUCGAACGGCAGCGCGGACUUCGGUCUGGCGGCGAGUGGCGAACGGGUGAGUAAUACAUCGGAACGUGCCCUGUUGUGGGGGAUAACUAGUCGAAAGAUUAGCUAAUACCGCAUACGACCUGAGGGUGAAAGCGGGGGACCGUAAGGCCUCGCGCAAUAGGAGCGGCCGAUGUCUGAUUAGCUAGUUGGUGGGGUAAAGGCUCACCAAGGCGACGAUCAGUAGCUGGUCUGAAAGGACGAUCAGCCACACUGGGACUGAGACACGGUCCAAACUCCUACGGGAGGCAGCAGUGGGGAAUUUUGGACAAUGGGGGCAACCCUGAUCCAGCAAUGCCGCGUGUGUGAAGAAGGCCUUCGGGUUGGACAGCACUUUGGUCCGGAAAGAAAUCGGUCUGGCUAAUACCUGGGGUGGAUGACGGUACCGGACGAUUAAGCACCGGCUAACUACGUGCCAGCAGCCGCGGUAAUACGUAGGGUGCGAGCGUUCAUCCGAAUUACUGGGCGUCAGGCGUGCGCAGGCGGUCCCGUAAGACAGGCGUGAAAUCCCCGGGCUCAACCUGGGAAUUGCGCUUGUGACUGCAAGGCUAGAGUGCGUCAGACGGGGGUAGAAUUCCACGUGUAGCAGUGACAUGCGUAGAGAUGUGCAGGAAUACCGAUGGCGAAGGCAGCCCCUGGGACGUGACUGACGCU
rnacentral:rRNA from 1 species